UACGGAGGGUGCAAGCGUUAUCCGGAUUUACUGGGUUUAAAGGGCGCGUAGGCGGCUCAUGAAGGCUGUGGUGAAAGUCCGGGGCUCAACCUCGGAUCGGCCGUGGCGACUCGUGGGCUGGAGCACUGUAGAGGCGGGUGGAAUUCCGGGUGUAGCGGUGGAAUGCGUAGAGAUCCGGAAGAACACCAGUGGCGAAGGCGGCCCGCUGGGCAGUGGCUGACGCUGAGGCGCGACAGCGUGGGGAGCAAACAGG
rnacentral:rRNA from 1 species